CACCCUUUGUGACAUACCUAUAACUGUUGCUUCGGCGGGUAGGGUCUCCGUGACCCUCCCGGCCUCCCGCCCCCGGGCGGGUCGGCGCCCGCCGGAGGAUAACCAAACUCUGAUUUAACGACGUUUCUUCUGAGUGGUACAAGCAAAUAAUCAAAACUUUUAACAACGGAUCUCUUGGUUCUGGCAUCGAUGAAGAACGCAGCGAAAUGCGAUAAGUAAUGUGAAUUGCAGAAUUCAGUGAAUCAUCGAAUCUUUGAACGCACAUUGCGCCCGCCAGCAUUCUGGCGGGCAUGCCUGUUCGAGCGUCAUUUCAACCCUCAAGCUCUGCUUGGUGUUGGGGCCCUACAGCUGAUGUAGGCCCUCAAAGGUAGUGGCGGACCCUCCCGGAGCCUCCUUUGCGUAGUAACUUUACGUCUCGCACUGGGAUCCGGAGGGACUCUUGCCGUAAAACCCCCCAAUUUUCCAAAGGUUGACCUCGGAUCAGGUAGGAAUACCCGCUGAACUUAAGCAUAUCAAUA
rnacentral:rRNA from 1 species